rnacentral:tRNA from 1 species
GGAGGAUUGACAGAGGGGCAAUGUGCUCUCCUGCUAAGAGAAGGCCGCCGGGCAGACUGGCGCGGGUGUUCGAUCCGCCCAUCCUCCGCCA